rnacentral:rRNA from 1 species
UGAGGAAUAUUGGUCAAUGGGCGAGAGCCUGAACCAGCCAAGUAGCGUGCAGGAUGACGGCCCUAUGGGUUGUAAACUGCUUUUAUAUGGGAAUAAAGUUAGGGACGUGUCCCUUAUUGCAUGUACCAUAUGAAUAAGGACCGGCUAAUUCCGUGCCAGCAGCCGCGGUAAUACGGAAGGUCCAGGCGUUAUCCGGAUUUAUUGGGUUUAAAGGGAGCGUAGGCUGUUUGUUAAGCGUGUUGUGAAAUGUAAGAGCUCAACUUUUAGAUUGCAGCGCGAACUGGCAGACUUGAGUGCGCACAACGUAGGCGGAAUUCAUGGUGUAGCGGUGAAAUGCUUAGAUAUCAUGACGAACUCCGAUUGCGAAGGCAGCUUACGGGAGCGCAACUGACGCUAAAGCUCGAAGGUGCGGGUAUCGAACAGG